UUGACCAUGUACCCAAUUAAUGUAUCGAAUGGUAAUCAGCUUGUUCGUAUGAACGCUUUCUUGCCUUAUUCACCCUGAAGGCGAUGCCCUCCGCAUCAGCUAUAUAAACGUGAGUCAAUAGGUAUCGGCCAUGAGAAUCCGACACACCAUAUCAUCGGCUAAGCGUCUACCCAUAUGCUGAGAUAGUAUCUUUUUAAAUAUCUUUCAUUUAAAGCCCUUGUAAACUCUUCUCCCUCAAUGGUCUCCAAUAUGCAUGCAUUGCCUGGCAUACAUCGACUAAUUCUGUACGGUCCUUCCCAAUUAGGCGACCAUUUUCCAUAUUUGGGGUCUUUAGAUCCUAUCAGUAGGAUGAACUUCCAGACCAAGUCCCCUUGGAAAAACUGCUUGACUUUGACCUUCUUGUCAUACCAUCUUGUGACUCUUUUCUUAUUUUCCUCAAUACUGAUCAAAGCCCUCAAUCGCUGACUCACCAAAUCCUCCAAUUCCCC
rnacentral:lncRNA from 1 species